UAAUAGCUGCCACAGUUCUAUAAAUUCAUUAACAGAUAUAAGCUUCUCCAAGAGAUCUCUAAAAACUCCCUAAAAAUAGCUCAGCAACCUACCUCGCUAGCUAGGUACCUGAUUGGCGAGGGAUUACACUAUAGUGUACACGUCAUAUUACAUUCAUCAGCAAUUUAAGAACUACAGUCAAGGAUCUGAGUAAGGCAAGUAAAACUAAAUGUACCAAGGAAAACGAUUUUCCAAAGAGAAGAGACCUGAACUAAGGUGUUGUUCUCCAAAUUCUAACACAACAUCACUCAAACCCAAACAAAGCAUGCAACAACACCAUAAAGAAGCUUAAAUUUGUAAUUCAGAAUAUUAAAAUGAAAAUGAGCCAAUUGACAUCCCAUUAUCAUUAAUUUCAGCGAUUGAAUACAUUUCAUAGACCCCGUAACCUUCAUUUGGCAUACAUGAGUAAAUAUACAUUUCAACACACAACAGGGUGAUUGAGGAAAAGUCAAUAAAAGCAAAAUAAUAUGCAUAUGUACACCUAAUCUUUGUCCCAAGUCAACAGCAUAGCAGUAUUAGCAUAGAUUUUGACAACUGGCAGCCUAAUGAAAUAUUAUUUAGCAAAAUUCCAAUGCAAAAAGGAAUCUUGAAAGAUUAUAACUGAUUUCAGACCAAAAAUAUCCAAAUUCAAAAUCAUGGCGAAGCACAUAUAAAAAAUAAAGUUUUAAAAUUUUAGAUUAUUCCCAAACCUGAAAAUGAGAGCUAUUGAGGCAACGGGCAAUCUGUCUAAAAAGAGGAACCAUGCAGC
rnacentral:lncRNA from 1 species